GCUGGCCCCACCCACACAGGGAUUCGCUAGGCGCAUGCGCGUCUUUUCGCCGGGGUCGGAAGGUCUAGGAAUUAAGGCCCUCGGAGAAUCAGGAGUUCCGACGCACAGUUACAGAGAGGCAGAGGCAGAGAGGUCUUCCAUCCACUGGUUCACUCCCCAGAUGGCUGCAACAGCUGGAGCUGUGUGCUGGAAUGAGAAGGCCAUGCCAAAGUGGCCGCUGGCAAGCGAGCAUGUUACUCAGGAAUGGCUUUGAAUCCCACCUGGCAACAGAGCCUGCCUGGCAACAGGCUGUGAUUGGAUGGAUUUGAAACCCACAUGGCGAACGGAAACUGCCUGGCAACAGGCUGUGAUUGGUUGGGGCAUAGACCGCCCCUUGACCAGAUUAACUGGUCUUGGUUAUAUAAGAUGUUGUACCAACUGAAAUAAACGAGUCUGCGGGCUGCUCACCUCAGGCCUGCUUUCACCCGACUCCUGGGGUCUGUGUGGUGACUCUGCGCCUCUUGCCCCCACCACACUCCUCCUCUCAGAAACUAAUCCACUGCAACAUUGUUGAGAAAUCAACUGCAACGGAGCUGGGCCAAUCCGAAGCCAGGAGCCAAGAGCUUCCUCCGUGUCUCCCACAUGAGUGCAGGGGCCCAAGGACUUGAGCCAUCUUCUACGGCUUUCCCAGGCCACAGCAGAGAGCUGGAUUGGAAAUGGAGCAGCCCAAACGAACUCGAACUGGCACCUAUAUGGGAUGCCAGCGCUGCAGGCAGUGGCUUUACCUGUUAUGCCAUGGCACUGGCCCCAUAUCUUAUGCUUUUAAAAAGUUUUCUGAAGCAUCUUUGAAAAUUUCCCAACUCCAGCAUGGGAUGCUAGUGUGACAAGUGGUGUCUUAACUCAUUGUGCCACAAAGCUGCCCCUUCAAAAUAUUUCUAAUGGUUGUAUGGAUGUUUUGCAUAACUACCUUCUGUUGUUGUGCUCUUUGACUGUUUCCACUUUUGGUUAUCAUAACAAAUGAUGUAGUAACAAAAAAAAAAAAAAAAAGGAAAGAAAA